ensembl:piRNA 21ur-13783 ncRNA
UUUUUCUCUCAACAGUUGCUG